rnacentral:rRNA from 1 species
GACCUGACUGCUAUCGGAUUGAUACUAAGCCAUGCUAGUCUUUGUAGUAAUACAAGGCAUACGGCUCAGUAACGCGUAGUCAACCUACCCUAUGGACGGGGAUAAUCUCGGGAAACUGAGCAUAAUACCCGGCAGACCACUUAUCCUGGAAUGGUUAGUGGUUAAAAUGAUUCGUCGCCAUAGGAUGGGACUGCGGCCUAUCAGCUUGUUGGUGAGGUAAUGGCCCACCAAGGCGAUUACAGGUACGGGCUCUGAGAGGAGAGGCCCGGAGAUGGGUACUGAGACAAGGACCCAGGCCCUAUGGGGCGCAGCAGGCGAGAAAACUUUGCAAUGUGCGAAAGCACGACAAGGUUAAUCCGAGUGAUUUCUGCUAAAGGAAUCUUUUGUUAGUUCUAAAAAUACUAGUGAAUAAGGGGUGGGCAAGUUCUGGUGUCAGCCGCCGCGGUAAAACCAGCACCUCAAGUGGUCAGGAGGAUUAUUGGGCCUAAAGCAUCCGUAGCCUGUUCUAUAAGUUUGCGGUUAAAUCUAUACGCUCAACGUAUAGGCUGCCGUAAAUACUGUAGAACUAGGGAGUGGGAGAGGUAGACGGUACUCGAUAGGAAGGGGUAAAAUCCUUUGAUCUAUUGAUGACCACCUGUGGCGAAGGCGGUCUACCAGAACACGUUCGACGGUGAGGGAUGAAAGCUGGGGGAGCAAACCGGAUUAGAUACCCGGGUAGUCCCAGCUGUAAACGAUGCAGACUCGAUGAUGCAAUGGCAUAGAGCUAUUGCAGUAUCGCAGGGAAGCCGUUAARUUUGCCGCCUGGGAAGUACGUACGCAAGUAUGAAACUUAAAGGAAUUGGCGGGGGAGCACCACAAG